GAUGAACGCUGGCGGCGUGCCUAAUACAUGCAAGUCGAGCGAACAGACGAGGAGCUUGCUCCUCUGACGUUAGCGGCGGACGGGUGAGUAACACGUGGAUAACAUACCUAUAAGACUGGGAUAACUUCGGGAAACCGGAGCUAAUACCGGAUAAUAUAUUGAACCGCAUGGUUCAAUAGUGAAAGAGGGUUUUGCUGUCACUUAUAGAUGGAUCCGCGCCGCAUUAGCUAGUUGGUAAGGUAACGGCUUACCAAGGCAACGAUGCGUAGCCGACCUGAGAGGGGGAUCGGCCACACUGGAACUGAGACACGGUCCAGACUCCUACGGGAGGCAGCAGUAGGGAAUCUUCCGCAAUGGGCGAAAGCCUGACGGAGCAACGCCGCGUGAGUGAUGAAGGUCUUCGGAUCGUAAAACUCUGUUAUUAGGGAAGAACAAAUGUGUAAGUAACUAUGCACGUCUUGACGGUACCUAAUCAGAAAGCCACGGCUAACUACGUG
rnacentral:rRNA from 1 species